rnacentral:pre_miRNA from 1 species
UGGGACUAAAUACACUGGUGUGUGGGACUAAACCAGUGUAUUUAUUUUCACACAUCAGUGUAUUUAGUCCCACACACCAGUGUAUUUAGUCC